UAUAAGUCUCAACAAAUAUAGGAAAACUAAAUAUCCUGCAUCUUCUGGUCACAAGAGUAUAAAGCUGAAUUCCAACAACAAUAGAAAUGGCAUAAAGCAGACAAACUCAUGGAAACAAGAUAAUAUGCUGACUGAGAAUUCCCUGUGAAGAUUCAUGUGUGGUACUCUCUGGUAAUCUACCUCUGUAUCAGAAGCUGUCUGAAUUUAUAUGAAGAGAACCUGACUGAUGAAGAAACUACAAAAGGAGGCAACAUAUGAUGACCACAACACAUGGAAAAGGUCAACUGCAAAUGAAGAAGCUAAUGAAAAAGUUUACAGAUACAGAACUUGGACUUAAAAAUGAGAAUCAGACUCUUAAGAACAUUUCAACAUUUAUUAAAAGUAGCCAGAGUAAAUAAACCAUAAGGAUGAAGAAAUAAUCUUCACCCAAAUGCUUCUUAUCUUCUAAGUAAAUGCUCUACCUCUAAACUAUUUCACCAGCCCCAGUCACUUGUUCAUACUGGUUUUGCCAGUAUAAAGGCCCCUAACUUUUAGAAGUGUCAUAUGGGAAUAAAAUAUAAAAUGUCAAGUAUCAGUUGACACUGAGAAAGAAAAAAUAAUCCCACCAGUCAACUUUCAA